CAAACACAGUAAUAACACAGUAGCUGCCUGUGGUAUCACAACAAAACAUACACAAGAGUGCAUAAUGUAAUAACUUUACUUUUUCGACAUUCCCUGUCUGGUGUAAAUGCUUCAUGCUUUCAUUCAUAAUCUGUUUAUAGCCUAUGCCUCCUAGAUCAGUACAGUAUCUUGGUCAUUCUAUCUCUGAUGAUUGGGGAUUUUACAAGGCUCACAUGAAUUAAUACUUUGAGGAAGUGGCCAGGGCAAAACAGGAACCCCAGUAUUGCGACCUCUCUGAGGCCAAGACUAACAGAUAUAGACAUUCUGGGCAAUCUGAACAGAAGAAAGGCUUAGAGCGACACUCAUACACUGUUUGGGAAAUUCGACGAAAUCCUUCCAAUACUGAUACAGGUAUUCCUAUCUCAAGUGACCACAGAGAAAUAGAAACAGAGGGAAAAAACUAAACGUUGGUGUCUCUUCAAAAUGUGCAUCUGGAUGGUUGGAGUUCUGUGUGUCCUGAUGUGUUUGGGAAAUCAUCAGGCUCAAGAAGCCAACCCAGCCAUCUCCAUGCCGGACAGAAUCAGGGUUGCUCUGGCAGGAGAAACGGUCCAUUACAAAGUCAAAGUGACCAUCCCAAUGAAUCAGAGCUCCAGCAACUUAGUCUGCUCUGGGCCUCCAGACCAAAAGAAGAUAAAAGAAUGGAGGAUCCCCUUUUCUCCUGAAACAAAUACAAUAACAUUUCAAUUGGAUAUAACAGCAUAUAACAGUUCAUACUCAGGAGAGUAUAACUGCAAGUAUAAAAAUGCAGAGAUCUUCUGGACCCUUCUGGUGAAAGAUGAGGGGUACCGGCAGCAUUACUCUGGUUUCAUCCUUUUCAUCGUGUUGGGGGCUCUUACCGCAGGCCUCCUCAUCUUCAGUGUGAUCGGCUCCAUAUAUGUGUUCAAAAGCCAAUGGGGUCAAUUUAUAUUGAAGAAUGAAAGUACCGGUAGUGGAGUAAUCAGAAGGAAUAGAGGGGAGAAAGAAGAGGAGGAGAACAGUAAAACAUCAGUGAAUGCAGCUGCCUCUGCUUCAGUUUACGCUAGUCUAGAGUCUCGGCCAGCAUCUGUCUAUGAGGUCUUGACCCCAGGAGCAUCAGCAGCAGCAGUAAACCGUGAAUCUGUCCAGAGGAAAGGAAAAAUGGAGAAUGCAACGCCACAAGGGGAAGUAAUAUUUGAAUGCGUCUAUGAGAAUUUCUGA
rnacentral:lncRNA from 8 species